CGCCGCUGCAGUGGAGAUUAGACUCGCGAGUCGCGUCGGCAGCGCGCGAGUGAAGUUAGCUCGGACAACACCUAGAGAGAGGGAGAGAGAGAGAGAGAGAGAGAGAGGGAGAGAAAGAAAGAAAGAAAGAAAGAAAGAAAGAAAGAAAGAGAGAGACAGGGAGAGGCAGGAGGAGAGAUGGCCUGGUCUCGAAGACUGGUGACGGUGGUGCUAGUAGUGAUGGUGACGGCUGUUCACCGAUCGGAUGCUAGGAGACUGACAGCAUCUUCCAACGGUUCAACCACGCCACACACGACUCCCGAGCCACCGCCAACGUUCUUCGUCGGUGGCGAACCUGAGAAGGGUUCGUCGAGUCAGGGUACUGGACUCAUCGGCACUGGAACGAGACCCCCCAUUCAUCUGGGGCAAAUCCUCGGCUUCUUGGGUCCAACGCGGCGUCCGUCCGGGCCCGCGGGUCCAGGCGGAUAUCAUGUGCCCCCACGUCAUACUACGACCACCACCACCAAAAAACCCUGCAGACAUUUUCGCUGUCCCGGCCGCUUCCCAUGGUAUUCUGCCUCGCACCCCGGCUUCCAACACAAAGGUGUGAAGCUUCGCCGGCCGUAGGUGGCUCCUUAGCAGCCCGGAACAACUUACGGUGCAAGAGGAUGUGAGUGUGUUCGGCGAUCAUCGGCGAUCAUGUUACUGUAACAGCGAAACUAACAUAUUGCUUAUGUAAUAUGUAUCACCAUAGAUAACAGUAGAACAGAAGAACAGUAGUUCUACUGUCAUCUAUGGUAUCACAUUAAAUACAUGUCAGUGAAACCGGA